rnacentral:rRNA from 1 species
GGUUAAGUUAGAAAGGGCGCACGGUGGAUGCCUUGGCACUAGGAGCCGAAGAAGGACGGGACUAACACCGAUAUGCUUUGGGGAGCUGUACGUAAGCGUUGAUCCAGAGAUUUCCGAAUGGGGGAACCCACUAUCUUUAGUCGGAUAGUAUCCUUACGUGAAUACAUAGCGUGAGGAAGGCAGACCCAGGGAACUGAAACAUCUAAGUACCUGGAGGAAGAGAAAGAAAAAUCGAUUUCCUGAGUAGCGGCGAGCGAAACGGAAAGAGCCCAAACCAAGAAGCUUGCUUCUUGGGGUUGUAGGACACUCUAUACGGAGUUACAAAAGAAAGUUAUAAAUGAAGCGGUCUGGAAAGGCCCGCCAAAGACGGUAACAGCCCGGUAGUUGAAAUGGCUUUCCCUCCAGAGUGGAUCCUGAGUACGGCGGAACACGUGAAAUUCCGUCGGAAUCCGGGAGGACCAUCUCCCAAGGCUAAAUACUCCCUAGUGACCGAUAGUGAACCAGUACCGUGAGGGAAAGGUGAAAAGCACCCCGGAAGGGGAGUGAAACAGUUCCUGAAACCGUGUGCCUACAAGUAGUUAGAGCCCGUUAAUGGGUGAUAGCGUGCCUUUUGUAGAAUGAACCGGCGAGUUACGAUUUGUUGCAAGGUUAAGCGGAAAAAGCGGAGCCGUAGCGAAAGCGAGUCUGAAUAGGGCGCAUAAGUAACAGGUCGUAGACCCGAAACCAGGUGAUCUACCCAUGUCCAGGAUGAAGGUAAGGUAAUACUUACUGGAGGUCCGAACCCACGCACGUUGAAAAGUGCGGGGAUGAGGUGUGGGUAGCGGAGAAAUUCCAAUCGAACUUGGAGAUAGCUGGUUCUCUCCGAAAUAGCUUUAGGGCUAGCCUCGAGGUAAAGAGUCAUGGAGGUAGAGCACUGUUUGGACUAGGGGCCCUUCUCGGGUUACCGAAUUCAGAUAAACUCCGAAUGCCAUGUACUUAUACUCGGGAGUCAGACUGCGAGUGAUAAGAUCCGUAGUCGAAAGGGAAACAGCCCAGACCACCAGUUAAGGUCCCCAAAUAUAUGUUAAGUGGAAAAGGAUGUGGGGUUGCUUAGACAACCAGGAUGUUGGCUUAGAAGCAGCCACCAUUGAAAGAGUGCGUAAUAGCUCACUGGUCGAGUGACCCCGCGCCGAAAAUGUACCGGGGCUAAACAUAUUACCGAAACUGUGGAUGAACCUCUUUAGAGGUUCGUGGUAGGAGAGCGUUCUAAGGGCGGUGAAGUCAGACCGGAAGGACUGGUGGAGCGCUUAGAAGUGAGAAUGCCGGUAUGAGUAGCGAAAGAAGGGUGAGAAUCCCUUCCACCGAAUAUCUAAGGUUUCCUGAGGAAGGCUCGUCCGCUCAGGGUUAGUCGGGACCUAAGCCGAGGCCGAUAGGCGUAGGCGAUGGACAACAGGUAGAGAUUCCUGUACCAGUGCUAAUUGUUUAACCGAUGGGGUGACACAGAAGGAUAGGGAAUCGCACGAAUGGAAAUGUGCGUCCAAGCAGUGAGUGUGAGAA